rnacentral:rRNA from 1 species
UCCGCCUGCCCUGUGACUUAAGUUUAACGGCCGCGGUAUCUUGACCGUGCAAAGGUAGCGUAAUCACUUGUCUUUUAAAUGAAGACCCGUAUGAAUGGCAAAACGAGGGCUUAACUGUCUCCUCCCCCCGGUCAAUGAAAUUGAUCUCCCCGUGCAGAAGCGGGGAUAGUUACAUAAGACGAGAAGACCCUAUGGAGCUUUAGACACAUCGACAGAUCAUGUAAAUACCCUUAAUAAAAAGACAAAACCAAAUGAACCCUGUCGUAAUGUCUUUGGUUGGGGCGACCCCGGGAAAAUAAAAAACCCCCGAACGGAAUGAAGAAAUUUAAACUUCAUAAACAAGAGCCACAGCUCACAAAAUCAGAACUUCUGACCCAAAGAUCCGAUAUAAUCGAUCAACGGACCGAGUUACCCUAGGGAUAACAGCGCAAUCCUCUUUAAGAGCCCCUAUCGACAAGAGGGUUUACGACCUCGAUGUUGGAUCAGGACAUCCUAAUGGUGCAGCCGCUAUUAAGGGUUCGUUUGUUCAACGAUUAAAGUCCUACGUGAUCUGAUUUUCAAGACCGGA